ACGGGUGAGUAAAGCAUCGGAACGUACCCAGUCGUGGGGGAUAACGUAGCGAAAGUUACGCUAAUACCGCAUACGUCCUGAGGGAGAAAGCGGGGGACCGUAAGGCCUCGCGCGAUUGGAGCGGCCGAUGUCGGAUUAGCUUGUUGGUGAGGUAAAAGCUCACCAAGGCGACGAUCCGUAGCUGGUCUGAGAGGAUGAUCAGCCACACUGGGACUGAGACACGGCCCAGACUCCUACGGGAGGCAGCAGUGGGGAAUUUUGGACAAUGGGGGAAACCCUGAUCCAGCCAUGCCGCGUGAGUGAAGAAGGCCUUCGGGUUGUAAAGCUCUUUCGGACGGAAAGAAAUCGCACCGGUGAAUAAUCUGUGUGGAUGACGGUACCGUAAGAAGAAGCACCGGCUAACUACGUGCCAGCAGCCGCGGUAAUACGUAGGGUGCGAGCGUUAAUCGGAAUUACUGGGCGUAAAGCGUGCGCAGGCGGUUGCAUAAGACAGAUGUGAAAUCCCCGGGCUCAACCUGGGAACUGCGUUUGUGACUGUGCGACUGGAGUACGGUAGAGGGGGGUGGAAUUCCUGGUGUAGCAGUGAAAUGCGUAG
rnacentral:rRNA from 1 species